rnacentral:rRNA from 1 species
AUAGCGUAUAUUAAAGUUGUUGCAGUUAAAAAGCUCGUAGUUGAACUUCAGACCUGGCCGGGCGGUCUGCCGAAAGGUAUGUACUGUCUGGCUGGGCCUUACCUCUUGGUGAGCCGGCAUGCCCUUUACUGGGUGUGUCGGGGAACCAGGACUUUUACCUUGAGAAAAUUAGAGUGUUCAAAGCAGGCCUAUGCCCGAAUACAUUAGCAUGGAAUAAUAAAAUAGGACGUGCGGUUCUAUUUUGUUGGUUUCUAGAGUCGCCGUAAUGAUUAAUAGGGAUAGUUGGGGGCAUUAGUAUUCAGUUGCUAGAGGUGAAAUUCUUGGAUUUACUGAAGACUAACUAUUG